rnacentral:rRNA from 1 species
UACGUAGGGCGCAAGCGUUGUCCGGAAUUAUUGGGCGUAAAGAGCUCGUAGGCGGCCUGUUGCGUCCGCUGUGAAAUCCCGGGGCUCAACCCCGGGCGUGCAGUGGAUACGGGCUGGCUGGAGGCAGGCAGGGGAGAACGGAAUUCCUGGUGUAGCGGUGAAAUGCGCAGAUAUCAGGAGGAACACCGGUGGCGAAGGCGGUUCUCUGGGCCUGUACUGACGCUGAGGAGCGAAAGCGUGGGGAGCGAACAGG